AAGUUCUUGAAAAGUAGAUCCAUGAGUCGUUUCUCUUGCUUCAUCGAACCCAAAUUCCUCUUCUGCCGGAUUUUGUUGAGAAGAAACCAUCUAUCUUCUUCCCAAACAGUGGCUAACCGAUUGCAAAAAUCUUGAGAAACCAGAUUCAAUUGCUUCGAUGACAAUUGGAAUGCAACAGAGCAAGUUGUGGAUGUGAAAUUCAACGCAGUCCGUGUCUUUAUAGAGAAUGAUGGCUUUAGUGCACCAGUCUUUGAUUUCCAAGCUCUGCCGGAUAUAUAGCUCGCCUUCUUUAAAAACCCUAUGGAGCUCUCUCAAUGGCUGUUCUAGAACUUUCCAUUUCGUUUGUUUCUCUUCGAAUUUCAGAUUCUGCCUUAUCUCUUCCGCAAUGGUUUCGUGAGCAGAACUAAACAUGUCAAGCAAAAGGCUGCAUUGCCGCUGAUUGAUCUGAAUAUCAUCCCGGAAUACCAUUAGGGUUUUCAAGCUUCCCAGUACCUCCCCAAUCUGACGGAAUUGCUCCAUCCCCUAGAUUGGAAGUCGAGAAAUCUGAACAUGGGAGUUGCAGGUAAUUCAAUUUACUAAACAAGGACGAGAAUUUACAUACUCUUGUUGAAUUUUGAUACGAUUAUAGGAUAGGAAAAGAGAAAUGAUAAUUGCUGACAUUACUUACCUGGAAUGACGGUGGAAAGAGUAUGGAGAUGGCAGACCAGUAGUUUCCAAACUGGGUUCUUUGAAAACGGAGGCAGACCAGAGAAUUUUUUGUUGAAAUAUUUGAUUUGAUUUGAUUUGAUUUCUACCGGGUAAUCGUCAACCCAAUAGAAAAUCAACAAUGUUGGAUUUACUUGUCUUGAAACCCUCUGGGAAACCAGAAAUCAGAAACAAUGAAGAUGACCUCUAGCGAAUUCCUGUCGGACCAGAGAAAUCUUUGUUGAAAUGCUGAUUGAUUUUCACCAAAUUCAGCAAUGUUGGAUUUAGUUGUUGCCUCGAAUCCCCCGGAAAACAGGAAAUCAGAAACAAUGAACAUGAACCACUAGCGAAUUCCUGUUGGACCAGAGAAAUCUUUGUUGAAAUGAUGAUUCGAUUUUCACCAAAUUCAGCAAUGUUGGAUUUAGUUGCCUUAAAUCCUCCGGAAAACAGGAAAUCAGAAACGAUUAAGUUGAACCCGCAAGCGAAUUCUUGUCGAACCAGAGAAAUCUUUGUUGAAAUGCUGAUUCGAUUUCCACCAAAUUCAGCAAUGUUGGAUUUAGUUGUUGCCUUGAACCCUCCAAAAAACAGGAAAUCAGAAACAAUGAAAGAUAAACUGCAAGCUAAUUCUUGUGGGAUCAGAUAGAAAUCUGUCUUUGUUGAAAUACUGAUUUGAUUUCCAUGGCAUAAUCGGAACUCAAUAGAAUUUCAGCAAUGUUGGAUUUAUUUUCCUGGAAACCUCCGGAAAACAAGAAAUCAGAACUGCAAGCGAAUUCUUGCCGGAUUAGAGAACAGUCCGGCAAUUUCAAGGUGAUGAAAUCAGAUUGAAUUGAUCCCAGGAGAGUGAAAAUUUGGCCGCUUGGUUGAUUAUUGUAUUAUUCAAGAAUCAGAAGGAAAGAAACAAAGAAAGUAUUUUUGAGGUCUUGAUGAGAAGUGUUAGGGAAAGUGAUCUUCCUGAUAACCAAACACUUGGCAGGCCUUUUCGGUUUUGGGAGUUAUUGGCCGAUUGUAAUGUAAGAGAUUGCCGUGAGUUUCUCAAAAUAUGUGUUUUGGCUUUGAAUUUUUUUUAUUUUAGGAUUUUGAUUUGAUUUGAUUGCUGGGAAAGUGAUGGCUUGGAGAUUAUCGACAGCUUUGGCCCUAUGUUUUUGCUCCGUAAUAAUUCACUUAGAUGCUGUACCUUGCAAAUCUUGUUUGUACUUUGCCAAUUAAUGAUUUCAUUUAAGUUCUGAAAAUUUUAAAA